rnacentral:rRNA from 1 species
GACAGAGGGUGCGAACGUUGUUCGGAAUUACUGGGCGUAAAGCGCGUGUAGGCGGCAACGCAAGUCGGGCGUGAAAUCCCACGGCUCAACCGUGGAAGUGGACUCGAAACUGCGUAGCUAGAGUCCUGGAGAGGAAGGUGGAAUGCUUGGUGUAGAGGUGAAAUUCGUAGAUAUCAAGCGGAACACCGGUGGCGAAGGCGGCCUUCUGGACAGUGACUGACGCUGAGACGCGAAAGCCAGGGGAGCGAACGGG